CGGAAACUUCCAGGAAAAAAACAUAGAAUGUUAAUCUUUUGGAAGUCUGUAAUGCACAUCUAUAUCUUUGACAGCCAACAACAGGUGAUAUUCAAGCAUAACUGAAGUGGAGAAAAAUUGAAAAAAGGUAAAACUCGGAAGCAGUCCCUCACAAGGACAAGCAUAAAGAAGUAUAUACAAUCUUUUUGAUCACUAGAGUAGUGCAUUUGCAAAAGAUCCAGAUGCAUAAAAGUACACUAACCACCAACUAGUAAAGUCAUGGGAUCAGAUACAACGUUCAAAGACAGUCCCUUACAAGGACAAGCAUAAAGAAGUAUAUACAAUCUUUUUGAUCACUAGAGAGUGCAUUUGCAAAAGAUCCAGAUGCAUAAAAGUACACUAACCACCAACUAGUAAAGUCAUGGGAUCAGAUACAACGUUCAAAGACAGUCCCUUACAAGGACAAGCAUAAAGAAGUAUAUACAAUCUUGUUGAUCACUAGAGAGUGCAUUUGCAAAAGAUCCAGAUGCAUAAAACUACACUAACCACCAACUAGUAAAGUCAUGGGAUCAGAUACAACGUUCA
rnacentral:lncRNA from 1 species